rnacentral:rRNA from 1 species
AGUGAACGCUGGCGGCGUGCUUAACACAUGCAAGUCGAACGAGAACGGAUUAUAGCUUGCUAUAAUUGUCAGCUAAGUGGCGCACGGGUGAGUAAUGUAUAGGUAAUAUGCCUCUUACUAAGGGAUAACAAAUGGAAACGUUUGCUAAUACCUUAUACUCCUUAUUAACAUAAGUUAAUAAGGGAAAGAUUUAUUGGUAAGAGAUUAGCCUGUAUUGUAUCAGUUAGUUGGUGGGGUAAUGGCUCACCAAGACUAUGACACGUAACUGGUUUGAGAGGAUGAUCAGUCACACUGGAACUGAGACACGGUCCAGACUCCUACGGGAGGCAGCAGUGGGGAAUAUUGCACAAUGGACGAAAGUCUGAUGCAGCAACGCCGCGUGGAGGAUGACACAUUUCGGUGCGUAAACUCCUUUUAUAUGAGAAGAUAAUGACGGUAUUAUAUGAAUAAGCACCGGCUAACUCCGUGCCAGCAGCCGCCGUAA